GACGAACGCUGGCGGCGUGCUUAACACAUGCAAGUCGAACGGAAAGGCCCUGCUUUUGUGGGGUGCUCGAGUGGCGAACGGGUGAGUAACACGUGAGUAACCUGCCCUUGACUUUGGGAUAACUUCAGGAAACUGGGGCUAAUACCGGAUAGGAGCUCCUGCUGCAUGGUGGGGGUUGGAAAGUUUCGGCGGUUGGGGAUGGACUCGCGGCUUAUCAGCUUGUUGGUGGGGUAGUGGCUUACCAAGGCUUUGACGGGUAGCCGGCCUGAGAGGGUGACCGGCCACAUUGGGACUGAGAUACGGCCCAGACUCCUACGGGAGGCAGCAGUGGGGAAUAUUGCACAAUGGGCGGAAGCCUGAUGCAGCAACGCCGCGUGCGGGAUGACGGCCUUCGGGUUGUAAACCGCUUCCGCCUGUGACGAAGCGUGAGUGACGGUAAUGGGUAAAGAAGCACCGGCUAACUACGUGCCAGCAGCCGCGGUGAUACGUAGGGUGCGAGCGUUGUCCGGAUUUAUUGGGCGUAAAGGGCUCGUAGGUGGUUGAUCGCGUCGGAAGUGUAAUCUUGGGGCUUAACCCUGAGCGUGCUUUCGAUACGGGUUGACUUGAGGAAGGUAGGGGAGAAUGGAAUUCCUGGUGGAGCGGUGGAAUGCGCAGAUAUCAGGAGGAACACCAGUGGCGAAGGCGGUUCUCUGGGCCUUUCCUGACGCUGAGGAGCGAAAGCGUGGGGAGCGAACAGGCUUAGAUACCCUGGUAGUCCACGCUGUAAACGGUGGGUACUAGGUGUGGGGUCCAUUCCACGGGUUCCGUGCCGUAGCUAACGCUUUAAGUACCCCGCCUGGGGAGUACGGCCGCAAGGCUAAAACUCAAAGGAAUUGACGGGGCCCCGCACAAGCGGCGGAGCAUGCGGAUUAAUUCGAUGCAACGCGUAGAACCUUACCUGGGUUUGACAUGGAUCGGGAGUGCUCAGAGAUGGGUGUGCCUCUUUUGGGGUCGGUUCACAGGUGGUGCAUGGCUGUCGUCAGCUCGUGUCGUGAGAUGUCGGGUUAAGUCCCGCAACGAGCGCAACCCUUGUUCACUGUUGCCAGCACGUUAUGGUGGGGACUCAGUGGAGACCGCCGGGGUCAACUCGGAGGAAGGUGGGGAUGACGUCAAGUCAUCAUGCCCCUUAUGUCCAGGGCUUCACGCAUGCUACAAUGGCUGGUACAGAGAGUGGCGAGCCUGUGAGGGUGAGCGAAUCUCGGAAAGCCGGUCUCAGUUCGGAUUGGGGUCUGCAACUCGACCUCAUGAAGUCGGAGUCGCUAGUAAUCGCAGAUCAGCAACGCUGCGGUGAAUACGUUCCCGGG
rnacentral:rRNA from 1 species